AGCUAGUAACCAUAUGACGGGAGAUAGGCACAAGUUUCGGGAUCUUGACGAAACAGUGACCGGGAAGGUUAGAUUCGGUGAUGGAUCAGCUGUUGAAAUUCAAGGAAAGGGGACAAUUGCAUUCGUUAGCAGGAAUGGCGGUCAGUGGAUGCUCCAGGACGUGUACUACAUCCCGAAGCUGUGCAACAACCUGAUUAGCCUUGGACAACUCACCGAAUCUGGACACAAAGUUAUCUUGGAUAAAGAUGAACUGGAGGUGUUCAUGAAGAGUCCGUUGCAGUUGAUCAUAAAGGUAAAACGUCAUUUGAAUCGUUUAUAUCACAUUGAGUUACAAGUUGCGAAACCUUUAUGCUUGUUGACAAGUUUGGAAGAACCCGCGUGGUUGUGGCAUGCUCGGUUAGGCCAUGCUAAUUUUCAUUCCAUGAAGUUGUUAGUGGAUCGAAAUAUGGCAGCAGGGGUUCCUAUGUUUGAUCAUCCGAAAUAGUCAUGUCAAGACUGUUUGAUGUCAAGACUGUUUGAUAUCAAAACAGACUCGUCAGCCGUUUCCUGUCAAGACAGAGUAUCAGGCGGAUCAACUGUUGGGUUUGUUGCAUGCUGAUUUGUGUGGACCGAUCACACCUCCUACACCAGCAGAUCAACUGUUGGGUUUAUUGCAUGCUGAUUUGUGUGGACCGAUCACACCUCCUACACCAGCAGGUAGUCGGUAUUU
rnacentral:lncRNA from 1 species